UGGUGGUUUGAAUUGUCUGGUUAAUUCCGAUAACGAACGAGACCCCAACCUGCUAAAUAGACUGUCCUAGUUCACGCUAGGCCAGCGCUUCUUAGAGGGACAUUUCGGAUUUACCGGAAGGAAGUUUGGGGCGAUAACA
rnacentral:rRNA from 1 species